rnacentral:rRNA from 1 species
UUGACCUCGGAUCAGGUAGGAUCCAGUCGA